AUCGCUUCUCGGCCUUUUUGGCUAAGAUCAAGGGUAGUAUCUGUUCUUAUCAGUUUCAUGCCGGUGGACAACCACGCCGGUGUGGGGCUGGUGGGAAUGAGUGCAGCAUGGAGGGGGCAGGUGUACCAGGGCUUUCUGGGGCUGGUUCUGAGGAAUCAGCUCGACGGCUGCCCCGAUGUGACCUGUU